rnacentral:rRNA from 1 species
AACGUAGGAGGCGAGCGUUAUCCGGAUUUACUGGGCGUAAAGCGUGUGUAGGCGGUACGGUAAGUUGGAUGUGAAAGCUCCUGGCUUAACUAGGAGAGGUCGUUCAAUACUGCCGAACUUGAGGGUAUCAGAGGAGAGUGGAAUUCCCGGUGUAGUGGUGAAAUAGCGUAGAUAUCGGGAGGGAACACCAGUGGCGAAAGACGGCUCUCUGGGAGUACAUCUGACGCUCAGACACGAAAGACUA